GUGGGAUGUUAUUAGGAUCCUUUCUAUAGGAAGCCCUUCGCAUAGACGAUCGCAAUAUGCGGGGCCUCACUAACCAUGACGAGGAGACGUGGCGCGGUGUCCUGAGCGUGAGGCGGGCGGUGGCAGCUUGCCAUCAGCCCUCGAUGAUCGUUCGCUCCCCUCGGGGAUGCGAUACUGUCGCUUUCUGAGUGGU